GACGAACGCUGGCGGCGUGCUUAACACAUGCAGGUCGAACGGAAAGGCCCUGCUUUUGUGGGGUGCUCGAGUGGCGAACGGGUGAGUAACACGUGAGUAACCUGCCCUUGACUUUGGGAUAACUUCAGGAAACUGGGGCUAAUACCGGAUAGGAGCUCCUGCUGCAUGGUGGGGGUUGGAAAGUUUCGGCGGUUGGGGAUGGACUCGCGGCUUAUCAGCUUGUUGGUGGGGUAGUGGCUUACCAAGGCUUUGACGGGUAGCCGGCCUGAGAGGGUGACCGGCCACAUUGGGACUGAGAUACGGCCCAGACUCCUACGGGAGGCAGCAGUGGGGAAUAUUGCACAAUGGGCGAAAGCCUGAUGCAGCAACGCCGCGUGCGGGAUGACGGCCUUCGGGUUGUAAACCGCUUUCGCCUGUGACGAAGCGUGAGUGACGGUAAUGGGUAAAGAAGCACCGGCUAACUACGUG
rnacentral:rRNA from 1 species